rnacentral:rRNA from 1 species
UACGUAGGGUGCGAGCGUUAAUCGGAAUUACUGGGCGUAAAGGGUGCGCAGACGGCGCAACGAGUUUGGUGUGAAAUCCCUGGGCUUAACCUAGGAACUGCACUGAAUACUGUUGGGCUAGAGUGUGCUAGAGGGGGGUGGAAUUCCUGGUGUAGCGGUGAAAUGCGUAGAUAUUAGGAGGAACACCAGUGGCGAAGGCGGCUCACUGGCUCGAUACUGACGCUGAGGUGCGAAAGCGUGGGGAGCAAACAGG